UCUCCGUUGGUGAACCAGCGGAGGGAUCAUUACAGAGUUGCAAAACUCCCAAACCCUUGUGAACGUUACCUAUCCCGUUGCUUCGGCGGGCGGCCCGGGCCCCGCGCCCGGCGCCCCCCCGCCCCCCGUGGGCGCCCGCCGGAGGUAAAACAAACCAUUGAAUUGCAUGGCCUCCCUGAGUUUUAUGUACUGAAUAAGUCAAAACUUUCAACAACGGAUCUCUUGGUUCUG
rnacentral:misc_RNA from 1 species